rnacentral:rRNA from 1 species
UAAGCAUAUCAAUAAGCGGAGGAAAAGAAACCAACAGGGAUUGCCCUAGUAACGGCGAGUGAAGCGGCAACAGCUCAAAUUUGAAAUCUGGCUCUUUCAGAGUCCGAGUUGUAAUUUGCAGAGGGCGCUUUGGCUUUGGCAGCGGUCCAAGUUCCUUGGAACAGGACGUCACAGAGGGUGAGAAUCCCGUACGUGGUCGCUAGCUAUUGCCGUGUAAAGCCCCUUCGACGAGUCGAGUUGUUUGGGAAUGCAGCUCUAAAUGGGAGGUAAAUUUCUUCUAAAGCUAAAUAUUGGCCAGAGACCGAUAGCGCACAAGUAGAGUGAUCGAAAGAUGAAAAGCACUUUGGAAAGAGAGUCAAACAGCACGUGAAAUUGUUGAAAGGGAAGCGCUUGCAGCCAGACUUGCUUGCAGUUGCUCAUCCGGGCUUUUGCCCGGUGCACUCUUCUGUAGGCAGGCCAGCAUCAGUUUGGGCGGUGGGAUAAAGGUCUCUGUCACGUACCUCUCUUCGGGGAGGCCUUAUAGGGGAGACGACAUACCACCAGCCUAGACUGAGGUCCGCGCAUCUGCUAGGAUGCUGGCGUAAUGGCUGUAAGCGGCCCGUCUUGAAACACGGACCAAGGAGUCUAACAUCUAUGCGAGUGUUUGGGUGUCAAGCCCGAGCGCGUAAUGAAAGUGAACGGAGGUGGGAACCCGCAAGGGUGCACCAUCGACCGAUCCUGAAGUUUACGGAAGGAUUUGAGUAAGAGCAUGGCUGUUGGGACCCGAAAGAUGGUGAACUAUGCUUGAAUAGGGUGAAGCCAGAGGAAACUCUGGUGGAGGCUCGCAGCGGUUCUGACGUGCAAAUCGAUCGUCAAAUUUGGGCAUAGGGGCGAAAGACUAAUCGAACUAUCUAGUAGCUGGUUCCUGCGA